ensembl:misc_RNA 7SK 7SK RNA
GGAUGUGGGGGUGAUCUGGCUGCAACACCUGUCACCCCAUUGAUCGCCAGGGUUGAUGCGGCUGAUCUGGCUGGCUAGGCGGGUGUCCCCUUCCUCCCUCACCACUCCAUGUGCAUCCCUCCUGAAGCUGUGUGCUCGGUCGAAGCGGACGACCAUCCCCGAUAGAGGAGGACCGUUCUUCUCGGUCAAGGAUAUACGAGUACCUGUGCUCCCCUGCCAGACCCUCCAGACAAGCUCACUGUCUCAUCAGAUACAAGAAUCCCUUUUAUAGAAACUUAGAGAGCGAGCUGUAGGUUCUCCAGAGGCAUGGGGAAAGUGGGGUAAAAGAGCAGGCCACCUGGA